AACCCAGACCCCAGAGAUGAGAAUAGCAGCCGAGGCCACACUCACCUGCUUCGAGUUCCUGCGGGUGUUCGGCCGGCCAGUGGCGGGGCUGAGGAAGGCGCGGCUGAGAGUUGCUGGCCAGGCAGGUGAAGAGCAAGGCAUAGAAGAGGCCCACUCGGAGCUUAUGCCCACCCGGCUGCAAGGAUUGACAAAGGAGGGCCUAAGGACAAGAUGAGGAUGGAAGGACUAGCCAGUGGCAAG